GAGAGCGAGAGUAAAGUUGGAGACGUUAGAACGAAGGAGACAUGGGAGUGAAUCAUGGACUGCUUUUAUCAUCAGUCGGUUAAAGUGCUCGACAAGGACUCUUUUAAAAGCGCGAAUGCUGGUGGAGUUGGUGAGGCCGAGUGGACAACUCAACCAAAGACUAGCUGAGUGAGCUGCUAAUACAGUGGCUAGUGCUUUCGGCUGUGCCGUGCUAAGAAGCUAGCAACCCGCGAAGUCAAUUAGCAAAGCCUGCGGGAAGCUGCGAGCUGACGACGAGGACAGAGAGCCGACGGAGUCGGUCGGCGCUGCGGGAGGACUGUGCCUGCAUCGCCUGCCGCGUGAUUCCCCUUUCCAUCCACGUGAAUCGCCUCUUUUCAUCUCCUGCCGUCCUUGACUGUUUGUGUGUGGUUAACAUCAUCAGCAAAGAGCGCAGUAUCCUUCCCAGCUGAGACAUCUUUGCAAGAAAGAAACUGGGAACAGAGAGCACCAUAAAGGAAGUGGUGGUGCAGGUCCUUCACUGACCGAAUUUGUCAUUGAAUCCAGUUUGAGUCGACACACUGUUUGGAUUCCUCCAUCAGCUGAUGCAGAGCUCAUCCAGAUGUCUGUGGUUGUGAUUCGCUGUAGAUUCUGACCGUCCUUUGCAGCCCUCACUGGACCUGCAGCUCAACACUUUCUCUAACAGCUGUUUCAGCUUCACUCUCAUGGAUGCUUUACCACCUCAUACCUGCAUUCAUUAUAUAAUUAAGCUCUUUAUUAAGCAUAUUUAAAGGUUUUAUUUAUUGAAUUCUUUUUUGUUUUCUAUGUAUUUGGCUGCUGUAACUCAGUAGUGACUUUUGGGAUAAAUAAAGUAUUUCUUAUAUUUUGGACACCUUGUUGUGUUAGGCUUUGAUAGCACUCAGUGAGAGCUCUUCAGUAUUUUUCUUUUUACACUUUUUCCUUUUUUUAUGAAAAACAAUCACUAUUGUUUUUCAUAAAAACAAUAGUGAUUUGAUCUCACCUUCAAA